GUAGUUAGAGUAGUAGUAGUUACAAGUACUAAUAGUAGUAGCAGUUACAAGUACUAAUAGUAGUAGUAGUUAGAAGUAAAUAGUAAAUAAACUGAUAUGUACACAAUAAGAUAUACAUAGUCAGGUCUGUCCAACCCAGUUCCUGGAGAGAUACCCUCCUGUAGGUUUUAACUCCAACCCUGUUCCUGGAGAGAUACCGUCCUGUAGGUUUUAACUCCAACCCUGUUCCUGGAGAGAUACCCUCCUGUAGGUUUUAACUCCAACCCUGUUCCUGGAGAGAUACCUUCCUGUAGGUUUUAACUCCAACCCUGUUCCUGGAGAGAUACCCUCCUGUAGGUUUUAACUCCAACCCUGUUCCUGGAGAGAUACCUUCCUGUAGGUUUUAACUCCAACCCUGUUCCUGGAGAGAUACCGUCCUGUAGGUUUUAACUCCAACCCUGUUCCUGGAGAGAUACCGUCCUGUAGGUUUUAACUCCAACCCUGUUCCUGGAGAGAUACCAUCCUGUAGGUUUUCAUGCCAACACUAAUUUAGCAUGACUGAUUCUAAUAAUUAGCUUGUUGAUACGCUUAAUCAGAUUAGGUCAUUACAUCUUGGUUUGGUUCAGUAGUGUGAAGGGUCUCAGGCUGGUGCUAUGGAUGCACCACUCAAACAUCAAAUCUCAUCUCUGGCAGGGUAAGGGUAAGGUGGAACAGCAGUGUUCUCUGGCAGGGUAAGUUGGAGCAGCAGUGUUCUCUGGCAGGGUAAGGUGGAACAGCAGUGUUCUCUGGCAGGGUAAGUUGGAGCAGCAGUGUUCUCUGGCAGGGUAAGGUGGAGCAGCAGUGUUCUCUGGCAGGGUAAGGUGGAGCAGCAGUGUUCUCUGGCAGGGUAAGGUGGAGCAGCAGUGUUCUCUGACAGGGUAAGGGUAAGGUGGAGCAGCAGUGUUCUCUGGCAGGGUAAGGUGGAGCAGCAGUGAUCUCUGGCAGGGUAAGGUGGAGCAGCAGUGUUCUCUGGCAGGGUAAGGUGGAACAGCAGUGUUCUCUGGCAGGGUAAGGUGGAGCAGCGGUGAUCUCUGGCAGGGUAAGGUGGAGCAGCAGUGUUCUCUGGCAGGGUAAGUUGGAGCGGCAGUGAUCUCUGGCAGGGUAAGGUGGAGCAGCAGUGUUCUCUGGCAGGGUAAGGUGGAGCAGCAGUGUUCUCUGGCAGUGUAAGGGUAAGGUGGAGCAGCAGUGUUCUCUGGCAGGGUAAGGUGGAGCAGCAGUGUUCUCUGGCAGGGUAAGGGUAAGGUGGAGCAGCAGUGUUCUCUGAUAGGGUAAGGGUAAGGUGGAGCAGCAGUGUUCUCUGGCAGGGUAAGGUGGAGCAGCAGUGUUCUCUGGCAGGGUAAGGGUAAGGUGGAGCAGCAGUCUAAGUGGUCUCUGACAGGGUAAGGGAGGUUUGACAUGGCUAACCUCUCUUGUUGCCACCGGGUGAGCUGGAAGGUUGGAAGGCCUCAGUCACAAAAGGGGUUUUGUGAACCUCUGCCAUAUUGACAUUACAUACAUAUCACUAGGAGAGAGACAGUAGAGUCUCAGACCCCUCUGUGGCUUGGUGGAUAUGCAUGAGUAAACUACACACACACACACACACACACACACACACACACACACACACACACACACACACACACACACACA
rnacentral:lncRNA from 1 species